UAAAUAAACAAAGCAAAAAAUCACAGUUGAGGGAUUCUGGAGAGAGGGCUCAGCAAUUAAGAGCAUUUGCUGUUUCUAAUACUCACAUUGAGUAACUCGGAACUGCAACAGUUAUACUAGAUGGAGGGGAUCAAAUACUCUCUUCUUACUUGCAUGAUGCUUUCUCUCAUGUGCACUGAAUCUGCACAUACAUAAUUUUCAAUGAGAUAAAUCUUUUUCAAAAAACUGAAAAAGUACAAAAUUUGAUUAAGUACUGACACAAAGGUAUUUCCUCAUGACCAAAUCCAACACAAAUCAAUAUUUAAUGCUUUCUCAGUUAUUUGCUUUGGGUGGUGGGAAGACAAUGAAAGAUCAACAAAGGUUGAGAAUUUACAAUUUCUAAGUAGAUAGAAUGCUUGGGUAUGGCUAAAUUCAGAGGAAUGUAAAGGCUUCCCAGAGCUUUCCAUUUUGAAUUUCAUAGCUCACAUUAACGGUGGGCAGCAGGUAACUGAAGAUUAUUUCUUUUCCUUUCUUCUGGCAUUCAUUCUGGGUUAUAGAAGAAAGGGCCGAGGAUGAGCUCUUGCAACUGUAAUUUGUCUUUAUUAUAGAGAAUAACAAGGAUGUUAUUCCUGGUCUCCAUGGAGAGCAUCAUCCCACAGUUCACCUCAAGAACUACAAUAAAAAUGUAGCAUGUGAGAGGCUGUAUUUCAUGUAUUUCAAGCAUGGUGAAUGAGAAAGAUGCCCUCACAUCCUUCUACUCUGUAUCCUUGAUAAAUCUCAUGGACUUGUCUGAAUUCUGUAUAAUUUUUCCAAAAUCCACACCGGAAAACCCUCGUCCUGGUAAUCUCAAAGUAUAUAUAAAAAAAAGUAUAUUUACCCACUUGCCAGGUACUGGUGUGAGUCAGAGAUUGGCUUGUGACUGCAUGCCAAUAUACUUUAGAACCCAUCCCUACUGAAAUGACAAGUGCGAACGUCGCACUUGCUGGGAACUGGGAAUAAAGCCAUCACUUCAGGAGACGAUGAGGAAAUAGCAUUUUAUUUCUUACAAAUUUAUAGCCAAGACAAUAAAUCACUCCAUAGAAAAAUUUAAAACAAGAUACAUUUUUGUGACCUUCAUAACAGAUGGUGUCAUUAGUACAAUAGUGAAAACUGCCUGCUGGGGUAUCAGGUUGCAGCAUUUUUUCAGGCUUGAUGUAUGAAGAGUAAAGUCAGUAAUGGAAUGCGGCCUUAACCCCUGACAGAAAUUGUCUUUGAAAAUGACCAAAAGAGAUAUGCUUAGUGGCCAUGUUGCCCCUAAGUUUAGCUACCUUUGCAGAAUAUAUGGUGACAUUUAUAAUGAUUUAUGUUCAUUUAUUGGCUUAGGGGUUUGUUUAUUUAUAUAUUUAUUUAUUUAUUUAUUUAUUUAGCUCCGUGGUGACACAAUAAUGUGUUCUUCUUGACAACGUUACCCUAGAUUCAAGUAAUCACUCCAUAUUUUUAGAGACACGAUUAUGGAACACAUCUUUAAAUGUAUCUUUAACCUGUCGUGGUGAUAUUGCUGCAUCCAGGUCAUUAGUAAGUUUAGGGUGCCCUUCUUCAUUCAUCUGUUCCUCUGCUACAUCCUUUCUGACUGUUCAGAAAAGAGAACAGGAAAAUGCUAUACUUGUCAAGACCAACCUUAACGUAGUGUUCUAGUUGACAUUCCCAGAUGGCUGCUAGCCAGAUCUGUAGGCAAGAAUUGCUCAUUUAUGAAACUAUAUAAAUGUUUUUGCUGUGAUAGUCAUCACAGAUUAGAUAGGUGAGUAGGUGGUAGAUUAAAUCAGAUU
rnacentral:lncRNA from 1 species